GCACGGGUGUGCGGGUCAAAACCUAGUUAACAUUAUUGCCCCUUCCAGCGACAAAUCAAUGGAGCUAAACCGGGUGGUUUAUUUUAAAGAUGAUGGUUUGGGCGACGGGGCUGAUCCGUCUGACAUAUCUAUCAUGAACACCUAUCCUCUUUUCCAAUUCUAUUAUUAUUUAACACAUGUCAAUUUUAUAGUUUUGUCUUUUCUUUUCAUAUGAGUUGGAUUGGUCUUGUCUGACUUGCUCUCCUUAUAAAUAGACCACUCUUUUUUGCCAAUUGAUAAUCACAAAUUUCUCUUUAACUCUUUGCUCCUUUUCUUGUGACUCUCUCUAUUAAAAGACAAAAACAAAUAAAUAUGUAUUUAAUAUUUUUAGGCAUGAUACAAUACGUUAUCAGCAAGAGCUUUGUUAAAUUAGAUUUAAUUUAUGUUUUUUUUAUAUAUUUUAUUUUUUAUUAUUUCAGAGUGAUGACCUCUGUUUAUUUUUUUGAAAAGAUAGGUGUUACUUUCUCUGACUGAUUGUUAUGAUAGGCUAUACCUUCACAAUCAGAAGAUCACAUGAUUAGCUUUGCAUCCAUGAAUAUAAAGUAGUCAAGAAUGACACUUUAAUCCCAGAAAUUUUCCUAUUUGCAAAAGAUCAUUGAACAUGUUUUAACCUAUUUAAUUUCUUUUAAUCUUUGUUUUAAGAUUGGAAGAUAAUGGAAUAACUCCUUCAGAAGUCUUAUUGGAACUCAUGUGGAUUUAUCUAUAUUCAUUCUUUGAUUGUGUUUUCAUUGAUCAAGCUUAAAUAAUCAUCUUGUUAUUUCAUGAGCUUAAUG
rnacentral:lncRNA from 1 species